rnacentral:rRNA from 1 species
UGGGGAAUAUUGCACAAUGGGGGAAACCCUGAUGCAGCGACGCCGCGUGAGCGAAGAAGGCCUUCGGGUCGUAAAGCUCUUUUAUAUGGGAAGAUAAUGACGGUACCAUAAGAAAAAGCCCCGGCUAACUACGUGCCAGCAGCCGCGGUAAUACGUAGGGGGCUAGCGUUGUCCGGAAUCACUGGGCGUAAAGGGUUCGCAGGCGGCAAUGCAAGUCAGAUGUAAAAGGCAAAGGCUCAACCUUUGUAAGCAUCUGAAACUGUAUAGCUUGAGAAGUGUAGAGGCAAGUGGAAUUUUUAGUGUAGCGGUGAAAUGCGUAGAUAUUAAAAAGAAUACCGGUGGCGAAGGCGACUUGCUGGGCACAAUCUGACGCUGAGGAACGAAAGCGUGGGUAGCAAACAGG